GGAUGAUGCGGUAGAGGAGCGUUCUGUAAGCCUGUGAAGGUGAGUUGAGAAGCUUGCUGGAGGUAUCAGAAGUGCGAAUGCUGACAUGAGUAACGACAAUGGGUGUGAAAAACACCCACGCCGAAAGACCAAGGUUUCCUGCGCAACGUUAAUCGACGCAGGGUUAGUCGGUCCCUAAGGCGAGGCUGAAAAGCGUAGUCGAUGGAAAACAGGUUAAUAUUCCUGUACUUCUGGUUAUUGCGAUGGAGGGACGGAGAAGGCUAGGCCAGCUUGGCGUUGGUUGUCCAAGUUUAAGGUGGUAGGCUGGAAUCUUAGGUAAAUCCGGGAUUCUAAGGCCGAGAGCUGAUGACGAGUCAUCUUUUAGAUGACGAAGUGGUUGAUGCCAUGCUUCCAAGAAAAGCUUCUAAGCUUCAGGUAACCAGGAACCGUACCCCAAACCGACACAGGUGGUUGGGUAGAGAAUACCAAGGCGCUUGAGAGAACUCGGGUGAAGGAACUAGGCAAAAUGGCACCGUAACUUCGGGAGAAGGUGCGCCGGUGAGGGUGAAGGACUUGCUCCGUAAGCUCAUGCCGGUCGAAGAUACCAGGCCGCUGCGACUGUUUAUUAAAAACACAGCACUCUGCAAACACGAAAGUGGACGUAUAGGGUGUGACGCCUGCCCGGUGCCGGAAGGUUAAUUGAUGGGGUUAGCUAACGCGAAGCUCUUGAUCGAAGCCCCGGUAAACGGCGGCCGUAACUAUAACGGUCCUAAGGUAGCGAAAUUCCUUGUCGGGUAAGUUCCGACCUGCACGAAUGGCGUAACGAUGGCGGCGCUGUCUCCACCCGAGACUCAGUGAAAUUGAAAUCGCUGUGAAGAUGCAGUGUAUCCGCGGCUAGACGGAAAGACCCCGUGAACCUUUACUAUAGCUUUGCACUGGACUUUGAAUUUGCUUGUGUAGGAUAGGUGGGAGGCUUUGAAGCGUGGACGCCAGUUCGCGUGGAGCCAACCUUGAAAUACCACCCUGGCAACUUUGAGGUUCUAACUCAGGUCCGUUAUCCGGAUCGAGGACAGUGUAUGGUGGGUAGUUUGACUGGGGCGGUCUCCUCCUAAAGAGUAACGGAGGAGUACGAAGGUGCGCUCAGACCGGUCGGAAAUCGGUCGUAGAGUAUAAAGGCAAAAGCGCGCUUGACUGCGAGACAGACACGUCGAGCAGGUACGAAAGUAGGUCUUAGUGAUCCGGUGGUUCUGUAUGGAAGGGCCAUCGCUCAACGGAUAAAAGGUACUCCGGGGAUAACAGGCUGAUACCGCCCAAGAGUUCAUAUCGACGGCGGUGUUUGGCACCUCGAUGUCGGCUCAUCACAUCCUGGGGCUGAAGCCGGUCCCAAGGGUAUGGCUGUUCGCCAUUUAAAGUGGUACGCGAGCUGGGUUUAGAACGUCGUGAGACAGUUCGGUCCCUAUCUGCCGUGGACGUUUGAGAUUUGAGAGGGGCUGCUCCUAGUACGAGAGGACCGGAGUGGACGAACCUCUGGUGUUCCGGUUGUCACGCCAGUGGCAUUGCCGGGUAGCUAUGUUCGGAAUAGAUAACCGCUGAAAGCAUCUAAGCGGGAAACUAGCCUCAAGAUGAGAUCUCACUGGAACCUUGAGUUCCCU
rnacentral:rRNA from 1 species